rnacentral:tRNA from 1 species
GGUGAGAUGGCUCAGUGGUUAAAAGCACUUGCUGUUCUUUAAGAGGACCUGGGUUCAAGUCCCAGCACCU